rnacentral:rRNA from 1 species
AGUGAACGCUGGCGGUAGGCCUAACACAUGCAAGUCGAACGGCAGCACAGUAAGAGCUUGCUCUUACGGGUGGCGAGUGGCGGACGGGUGAGGAAUACAUCGGAAUCUACUUUUUCGUGGGGGAUAACGUAGGGAAACUUACGCUAAUACCGCAUACGACCUACGGGUGAAAGCAGGGGAUCUUCGGACCUUGCGCGAUUGAAUGAGCCGAUGUCGGAUUAGCUAGUUGGCGGGGUAAAGGCCCACCAAGGCGACGAUCCGUAGCUGGUCUGAGAGGAUGAUCAGCCACACUGGAACUGAGACACGGUCCAGACUCCUACGGGAGGCAGCAGCGGGGAAUAUUGGACAAUGGGCGCAAGCCUGAUCCAGCAAUACCGCGUGGGUGAAGAAGGCCUUCGGGUUGUAAAGCCCUUUUGUUGGGAAAGAAAAGCAGCAGGUUAAUACCCCGCUGUUCUGACGGUACCCAAAGAAUAAGCACCGGCUAACUUCGUG